CAAACUGGAGAUGGCGACCGGCGCACGGGUGAGUAACACGUAUCCAACCUGCCGAUAACUCGGGGAUAGCCUUUCGAAAGAAAGAUUAAUACCCGAUGGUAUAAUCAGACCGCAUGGUCUUGUUAUUAAAGAAUUUCGGUUAUCGAUGGGGAUGCGUUCCAUUAGGCAGUUGGCGGGGUAACGGCCCACCAAACCGACGAUGGAUAGGGGUUCUGAGAGGAAGGUCCCCCACAUUGGUACUGAGACACGGACCAA
rnacentral:rRNA from 1 species